rnacentral:lncRNA from 1 species
AUGCACGACCAGCAACAUAGAACAUAUCAUGAAUUCACAUUUAUUAACAACAAAUGAAAUCGUAACUGUUUCUCAUUUCACCAGCCUACUAGUAUCCAUGGGGAUCCAUAGGGGUGUCCCCACUACACGUGAACCAUUUCUCUUAACAGUCUUAAUUACAUAGCCGACCCCACAUCCCGUCCGGUAGGAGCACCAAAACAUUAAAUCUCAAUACCUCAUCCAGUAUGAGAGUGAAGCGGGCUGUC